rnacentral:misc_RNA from 1 species
UCUCCGUUGGUGAACCAGCGGAGGGAUCAUUACCGAGUGCAAACUCAUAACCCUUUGUGAACCUAUAUCUGUUGAUUCGGCGGCUCGCUCUCGGGCGAGCCCGCCGGUAAUAUCAGUAUCUCUGUUUGAACCCGACGAUACUUCUGAGUGUUCUUAGCGAACAGUUAAAACUUUUAACAACGGAUCUCUUGGCUCUA